UACGUAGGUGGCAAGCGUUAUCCGGAAUUACUGGGCGUAAAGCGCACGCAGGCGGUCUUGUAAGUUUGGCGUGAAAGCUCCCGGCUUAACUGGGAGAGGUCGCUGAAGACUGCAAGACUUGAGGAAAUGAGAGGGGUGUAGAAUUCCCGGUGUAGUGGUGGAAUGCGUAGAUAUCGGGGGGAAUACCAGUGGCGAAAGCGGCUCCCUAGCAUUUUUCUGACGCUCAUGUGCGAAAGCGUGGGGAGCGAACGGG
rnacentral:rRNA from 1 species